rnacentral:rRNA from 1 species
ACGAACGCUGGCGGCGUGCCUAAUACAUGCAAGUAGAACGCUGAAGGAAGGAGCUUGCUCUUUCUGGAUGAGUUGCGAACGGGUGAGUAACGCGUAGGUAACCUGCCUGGUAGCGGGGGAUAACUAUUGGAAACGAUAGCUAAUACCGCAUAAAAUUGAUUAUUGCAUGAUAGUCAAUUAAAAGGUGCAACUGCACCACUACCAGAUGGACCUGCGUUGUAUUAGCUAGUUGGUGGGGUAACGGCUCACCAAGGCGACGAUACAUAGCCGACCUGAGAGGGUGAUCGGCCACACUGGGACUGAGACACGGCCCAGACUCCUACGGGAGGCAGCAGUAGGGAAUCUUCGGCAAUGGACGGAAGUCUGACCGAGCAACGCCGCGUGAGUGAAGAAGGGUUUCGGAUCGUAAAGCUCUGUUGUAAGAGAAGAACGAGUGUGAGAGUGGAAAGUUCACACUGUGACGGUAUCUGACCAGAAAGGGACGGCUAACUACGUG